rnacentral:lncRNA from 1 species
AUGGGGGCUUGUGCGGCUCCGGUGGGGCGCUCACGGGGGGACCCCCGGCGGGUGCGGGCGCCGCUUCCGUGCGGCCCCGGGAGCAGGCACAUUCCUCCGGCGUGGGGCAGCCGGGAGGAACAGGCCCUGGGUUUGUUCUGGCUUUUGGCUGCGCUCAGUAGCAUCUCCUGUGUCGGGCUCUUAACGCGGUCUGUGGGAGCGGCUGCCCCUGGAGGCGCGCAGAAUAACACCUUUGUGCGGGCAGCCUUGGGCAGGAAGCCCCUGCUGGGGAGCGUGGGGCAGCGAGGGGCAGCGUGGGGCAGCGUGGGGCUCCGGCCCCCCGUGCUGUGCCCCCGACAGCCCGUCCUGCUCUGGGCACCAGGGACAGGACCCCCAGGUGCUGGCACAAAUCGUCCUUCGUCCCUGUCUCCACCACAGCCCCCAGGUGCUGGUUUUGGGGGGGCUGUUGGACGCCCAGCGUGGCUGAGACCUCUUGGAGGAGGGAGGCUGGAGGUUUGUGGUGCCCCCGGGGUGCUGGUGAGCUGGGAGAGGUGGCAGAGGGCGGGUGGCAGUGGCCGGCUGGGCCAAGCGGUGACUUCUAGGUGGCCGCAGCUGGCCACAGCCCGUGUGUGGCUUCGGUGGCUCUGCUGCCUCGGGGCUGGAAGCAGCCUGGAGCUGUCCCUGUGCCUGUGGGCAGCCCUUUGCCACCAGUUUGUGCCAACUUGGCUUCACUGGGGACCUCUGAGUCCCCCAGGUCCCCCCAGGGGGCACGGCAGCUUGGUACCGGGAGGGCUGGGGCUGCACGGCUGGUGGCAGCGUGCCCAACGGGUCCCAGGACCCCUUCCCUGUCCCCUUCAUGUCCCCUCCCAGCUGCGUGUGGCCAGCAGGGGAGGAGCAGCCGCGGGCAGGGAGGGAUGGCAGGAGCUGGGGCCGGGCCGGGGGGUCCGUGGGGAGCCUGCUCCCCCCCUGCCCCCAUGGGCAGGCACCGCACCCCGUCCCCGCGGCGGGCCGGGGCAAAGCAGGUUGCUAAAAAAUGGUGCCGUUGUGUCGUGA